rnacentral:SRP_RNA from 1 species
GCCCGGUCAUCCCAGCUGCUCCAGAGACUUAGGCAGGAGGAGCACCUCAGUUCAGGAGUUCUGGGUUACAGUGUGCCAUGCAGAUCCAGCAUCUGCAUUAGGUUCGAUAUGAAUAUGGUGACUUCCUGGAAGUGGGGAACACCAGGUUGCCUAAGGAAAGGUGAACUACCCAGGUAGGAAAUAGAACAGGUGCUGAUCAGUAGCGGGAUCACACCUGUGAAUAGCCACUGAACUCCAGUCUGGGCAAUGUAGUGAGACCCCAUUUCU